ensembl:lncRNA
GACAUCGUGCUGUAUAGGAUGAUGACAUCGUGCUGUAUAGGAUGAUGACAUCGUGCUGUAUAGGAUGAUGACAUCGUGCUGUAUAGGAUGAUGACAUCAUGUAAGAACAUUACUGAUCAACAUGAGGAGUCCGUUUCAUUCUGAAAAUUUGUACUAAAUGCCACCCUACGCCCUAUAGGCCCUGGUCUGAAGUAGUGCACUAUAUAGGGAAAAGGGUGCCUUUUGGGAUGAAACCGGAGGUAUUUGGAUUAGGUAUUUCUGACCGCGUUCUCCUGUAGGAAGAUGGAUGCCUUGAUGUUGAUUUGAAUACAUUUUUAACUAGUUCUUCCAUAUGGUUGGGAAGUGUAGGUAGGUGUUUUUAUAUUAAGGAUUUGUAUAUAUCUCUAUAUCAGGGUUAAAAAGCUUCUGACUCAAACUAGACACACAUUGUCCAGGUAUAUCUAUCGCUAUAAAAAUGACCUUUACUUGGUGGGUGGUUCAAUCUUUUAGAAGGUUUCACCAAGAACAGGAAAUGCACACGCCUAGCUAAAGAUAAUUUAUUACAAAUAAUUAAUAUUAGACUUCAUCAUUAAUAGUUUUAUUGAGUAGAGAUCUUUAUCAGAGAACAUGACUUGUCAGGAAUGUAUGUUGAAGACUGGCUGGCUAUAGUUUUGUUUUUGACUGAAGAGUCCUAUCUGUUUUAAUGGAGGGGUAUAUUGGUACGCGUGUUGUUAGGCCAAUAGCCAAUACAAUCACUUUUAACACCGGCUUCCAGGGCAAUAUCUCUUUUAUUCAACGGGUUACCAACCUAUUGAAAUAAUGAUUGACAUAUUUUCAUUCAAAACGUUAUUUCGAUGAAUUCAUUCAUACUUUUUCAAACUUCUAUAAGAUAAAGUCCCGACACAUAUCUCGGGUUGCUACCCCAAGCGGACUGGUCGUUCGUUCUAUUGGUUCUUAUUCCUUGCUAGCUAGCCAACUAUGGCUAACUUACUGUCACGUCAAACAGAGCAGACAGAAUAACAAUUGUAGCUGCAUUUGUUUAAGCUGUUUUCUAGUGACAUUUAGUUGGAUACAUCAAUAACAAUGAGCUAAUGAGGUGGGAUUUCACCUGGCAUAGAAAAUGUGGUCUCAACAACACAGCUUACACAAUCACUUGAAAAUGUCGGACAGACAAAGUUGUAUACAAAUGUCCACUGUUAAACUACAUUUUAGUCUAAAAGAAAUGAGAAUGUCGAGAUGAUUUUUAUAGUGGAGAUCAAGUAUAUAAAUUGCCUGGCUGGGCUGAUGAGACAGUGGAUUGUACAGUCAGAUGGAACAGAGUAAAUGGGCAUUUCAACGUCAUAGAUUUCGUCGGUGGUAACUUCUGGAAUAAACACCAGCUGGAAUCUGGUUUUAAAUUAGGAUUAGACCCACCCGUUGUAUAGUACUACAUUGAUCACAGCCUUUGAGUUUUGAAUAAAGCUAGUCUGAAGAAGCUGAGGACAUUAUAUUCACAAUUAAUUUCUAUCUUUUACUUAAAUGCACACUUAUGGUAUCUUUUGGAUUGUUUAACAACUAUGUUCUAGAUUAAAGAUUGUCUGACAAUGGUCUGAUAUUCACAUGGGUUAGGUAUUGUAUUGCCUUGUUAUUUGAGGGGAGCUUUUUGGUCAGAUCAGUGCCCAUGUUGCAUGAUGUCGUCAUGUACAGUUUGUUAGAACAGAAUACCAGUUGGGCUUGUUGUACAGCAGUAAUGUGUAUAAUUCUAUUAAAGCACUGGAGAAAGACAAAGAGCAGUGACGUUCUUGUGCCUAGAGUAUAUUGUUCCUAUGAUCUGUCAGUCAAUAAAGGGGAUGUCUUUCUUAAUGUUGUGUGUGACUGAUCAUUCAAGACAUUUUGGGUCCAUGUAGGAUUUCUCUUGAAAGAAAC